rnacentral:rRNA from 1 species
GACGAACGCUGGCGGCGUGCUUAACACAUGCCAGUCGAACGGAAAGGCCCUGCUUUUGUGGGGUGCUCGAGUGGCGAACGGGUGAGUAACACGUGAGUAACCUGCCCUUGACUUUGGGAUAACUUCAGGAAACUGGGGCUAAUACCGGAUAGGAGCUCCUGCUGCAUGGUGGGGGUUGGAAAGUUUCGGCGGUUGGGGAUGGACUCGCGGCUUAUCAGCUUGUUGGUGGGGUAGUGGCGUACCAAGGCUUUGACGGGUAGCCGGCCUGAGAGGGUGACCGGCCACAUUGGGACUGAGAUACGGCCCAGACUCCUACGGGAGGCAGCAGUGGGGAAUAUUGCACAAUGGGCGGAAGCCUGAUGCAGCAACGCCGCGUGCGGGAUGACGGCCUUCGGGUUGUAAACCGCUUUCGCCUGUGACGAAGCGGGAGUGACGGUAAUGGGUAAAGAAGCACCGGCUAACUACGUG